rnacentral:rRNA from 1 species
CGGCACGGGUGAGUAACACGUAUCCAACCUGCCGUCUACUCUUGGCCAGCCUUCUGAAAGGAAGAUUAAUCCAGGAUGGCAUCAUGAGUUCACAUGUCCGCAUGAUUAAAGGUAUUUUUCGGUAGACGAUGGGGAUGCGUUCCAUUAGGCAGUUGGUGGGGUAACGGCCCACCAAACCUUCGAUGGAUAGGGGUUCUGAGAGGAAGGUCCCCCACAUUGGAACUGAGACACGGUCCAA